UCGGGAAUUUUGGGCAAUGGGCGAAAGCCUGACCCAGCAACGCCGCGUGAAGGAUGAAGUAUUUCGGUAUGUAAACUUCGAAAGAAUGGGAAGAAUAAAUGACGGUACCAUUUAUAAGCUCCGGCUAACUACGUGCCAGCAGCCGCGGUAAUACGUAGGGUGCGAGCGUUAAUCGGAAUUACUGGGCGUAAAGCGUGCGCAGGCGGCCGCGCAAGUCUGGUGUGAAAUCCCCGGGCUUAACCCGGGAAUUGCGCUUGAAACUAUGCGGCUUGAGUGUGGCAGAGGGGGGUGGAAUUCCACGUGUAGCAGUGAAAUGCGUAGAGAUGUGGAGGAACACCGAUGGCGAAGGCAGCCCCCUGGGCCAACACUGACGCUCAGGCACGAAAGCGUGGGGAGCAAACAGGAUUAGAUACCCGCGUAGUCCCUGAGCGGGCUGGCAAGGCGCAU
rnacentral:rRNA from 1 species